GUGGGGAAUAUUGGGCAAUGGGCGAAAGCCUGACCCAGCAACGCCGCGUGAAGGAAGAAGGUUUUCGGAUCGUAAACUUCUAUCCUUGGUGAAGAUAAUGACGGUAGCCAAGAAGGAAGCCCCGGCUAACUACGUGCCAGCAGCCGCGGUAAUACGUAGGGGGCAAGCGUUGUCCGGAAUGAUUGGGCGUAAAGGGCGCGUAGGCGGCCCGGUAAGUCUGAAGUGAAAGUCCUGCUUUUAAGGUGGGAAUUGCUUUGGAUACUGUCGGGUUUGAGUGCAGGAGAGGUAAGCGGAAUUCCCGGUGUAGCGGUGAAAUGCGUAGAGAUGGGGAGGAACACCAGUGGCGAAGGCGGCUUACUGGACUGUAACUGACGCUGAGGCGCGAAAGUGUGGGGAGCAAACAGGAUUAGAAACCCGGGUAGUCC
rnacentral:rRNA from 1 species